CCCAGGAAAGCUCUGGGGUGAUGGAGGUGAAGGCGGGGCUGCUCAGGCUGAGGGGCCUCGAGGCCUCCAGUCCCCCGAGGGCGCACCGCCCGCCCCUCGGCACCCGGGGAGGUGGAGCAUGGGCGCACGUGUUAGGACCCAGAAGGCGGUGAGCUCUGCCUGGGCAGGCGGCGGAGGGAACAGGUGGAGGUCCUUAAGGUCCUGACGUGCACACUGGUCAUGGGGCCUGGGGAUGGGGAGGGAACACUGAUGGGACCAUCUAGUAGCUGGUUCCUUCCGGUUACCCUCAGGAAGCUGGCGCUCGCGCCCGAACCCACGCAGUUUUAGCCCGUAAAGGAAUGAUUAGAGGCCUUGGGGCUCAAAGGCUCUCAUCCUAUUCUCUACUUUAAAUGGGUAAGAAGCCCGGCUGGCUGGCGUGGACCGGGCGUGGACUGCGGGUGCCUCGUGGGCCACGUUUGGUUAGCGAACUGGCGCUGCGGGAUGAACCCAGGCCGUCAGACCCGAGAGGAGGGGUUGGUUCAUCCAGACGGCAGGACGGUGGCCGGGGAAGUCGGAAUCCGCUAAGGAGCGUGUAACAGCUCACCUGCCCAAUCCCUAGCCCUGAAAACGGAUGGCGCUGCAGCAUCAGGCCCAGACCCUGGGGUCGCUGGCAGUCGGUGACCCACGGGAGAGGGACAGAGCGGCCGCCUGGGUCCCCCCACUGCGGGAGCCAGGAAGCCUGGAUGCCGCUGGGGAAGCCGCCGCAGGUGCAGAUCCUGGUGGUAGUAGCAGAUGUGCAAAGGAGAACUCUGAAGGCCAAGGUGGAGGAGGGCGCCGUGUGCACAGCAGUCGAGCCGGGUCAGUCGCUGCCAGAGAGAUGGGCGAGCUCCGGUCCCAAGGGACAGGUGAUGGCCUGCGUUGCCCUGAGCAGAUGGAAAGGGAGUCAGGUUCAGAUCCCCGAAUCCGGAGUGGCGGAGAUGGGUCCUUGUGACACAACCCAUCCUGGAGAAGCCCAGGGAGCCCCGGGGAGGCUUCUCUUUUCUUUGUGAAGGGCAGGGCGCCCUGGAAUGGGUUCCCCGGAGAGAGGGGCUGUGCCUUGGGAAGUGUCGCGGUUCUGGGGCGUCUGGUGAGCUCUUGCUGGCCCUUAAAAUCGGGGGGAGCGGGUAUAAACCUCGGGCUGGGCUGUACCCAUAUCCGCAGCAGGUCUCCAAGGUGAACAGCCGCUGGCA
rnacentral:ncRNA from 1 species